rnacentral:rRNA from 1 species
UACGAAGGGGGCGAGCGUUGUUCGGAAUUACUGGGCGUAAAGGCGCGUAGGCGGCCGAUCAAGUCAGAUGUGAAAGUCCUGGGCUUAACCUGGGGACUGCAUUUGAUACUGAUUGGCUUGAAUGCAGGAGAGGAUAGCGGAAUUCCCAGUGUAGAGGUGAAAUUCGUAGAUAUUGGGAAGAACACCGGUGGCGAAGGCGGCUAUCUGGACUGUGAUUGACGCUGAGGCGCGAAAGCGUGGGGAGCAAACAGG